ACUAUCUACAUUAAUUUUGAUCGUUUUAACUUCAAUAAAAAUAAAAUCAAUAUAAUUAUGUUAAACUUGUGAAACUUAUAAUAUUUUCUCUAAACGUCAAGAGAGCUGAGUGAAAUUUACCCAAAAACAAAAAUGAGAGCAGGCUAGUAUAUUAAUUCAAUUCGAGUCUUACUACUGUACACACAUUCACCCAAUUUGCUGCAAAAGUUGAUAACAAAAAUAUAAAUAAAAUAGUGGAAUAUAUAUGCUUUGAAUCUUCGAACUGUAUUUAUAAUUACAAGCAAAAAUUGACAGUACCAGGUUAAAUGCAUAGAGAACUCCAUACAGUGAUUUGAACAAAUCAAUAAAUUACUACUGAAAUUAGCACCACAUCGCUGUGUAAGAGGGAAAACUCAUAUCUAUUCAAAUACACAACAUAUUUUAACCCAAAAAAAA